AAUCGGUGUGGAUGUUGAAAUCAAAAACGGGAUCGGUCCUGUGAUUGAUCAGCCAAUCCGGUCUCUGGCGGACA
rnacentral:tRNA from 1 species